UACGGAGGAUCCAAGCGUUAUCCGGAAUCAUUGGGUUUAAAGGGUCCGUAGGCGGUUUAAUAAGUCAGUGGUGAAAGCCCAUCGCUCAACGGUGGAACGGCCAUUGAUACUGUUAAACUUGAAUUAUUAGGAAGUAACUAGAAUAUGUAGUGUAGCGGUGAAAUGCUUAGAGAUUACAUGGAAUACCAAUUGCGAAGGCAGGUUACUACUAAUGGAUUGACGCUGAUGGACGAAAGCGUGGGUAGCGAACAGGAUUAGAUACCCUGGUAGUCCACGCCGUAAACGAUGGAUACUAGCUGUUGGAAGCAAUUUCAGUGGCUAAGCGAAAGUGAUAAGUAUCCCACCUGGGGAGUACGUUCGCAAGAAUGAA
rnacentral:rRNA from 1 species